CCAUCUCAUCUUAUUUCCAAUUUUUAGUUCUGUUCGAUACUCGACCAAAAAAAAAAAAAAAAAAGUUCUGUUCGACACUACUUUUUUCCUCUCUCUCGCACACAGCUCCUCAUUAUCUCUAAGCUACUUGAAGAAAAACUCUGAGCUCAAGCCUCAAAUGUCUCAAUCUAUCGUCUAAAAGCUUUGAGGUCAACAACACCAUCUCUUAUUAUCUUGGUUCAACUCAAUUUCCAUUUCACUUCUUCGUGUUUUGAGGUUUAGAACAUUGAGAAAUCCUCUCCUUGAGUCCAAGAACAAUUGAUUUCUCAGGUUGAGAUGACUGUAUGCUGUGACUUGUGGUUCAGUUCCUGAUUUUGGAGAAAUUUUUAGUAGCCCUGACCCAGUGUCCGCUGCAGCUUCAACCAAAGCUAGAAUGCGUUGCACACAAGAACUUCAUGAGGUCUUUGUUGAAGCUGUCAACCAGCUUGGUGGUGGUGAAAGAGUCACUCCUAAGGGUAUCUUAAACGUCAUGAUGGUUGAAGGCUUCACAAUGUAUCAUGUAAAAAGCCAUUUACAGUUCAUUCUUCUCAUGUGUUCAGUCAUCCACCAAUAACUUUUUCUUGGCCUGAAGACCUUGAACUUGCUCUUGAAGCCAAGAAGUUACAAGUUCAACAUGGGAAUAGCACUGUGAAUGCCUUUUCAAGGUAAACAAUACUGCAUGAUUAUGCUUCCUAUAUGUGCAGUUUCUAUAUUACCAAAUAGGGUUUCUGUUCAGCUCAACUGCUGCUUACAUUAGUUCUCAUAAUUUUUGUUGAGUGGAAGCAUGUACGACUUUCCACAGGGACUUGAAAGCUGCUAAUCUUUUGAUGGAUGGAAUGGAGUAAGAGAUAAUUUUUCUUUAUGUUGCAUUUGUCUAUUCCUUUAAGCUCUGUAACAUAGUUCACUGUUUUCACUCACUUACAAAUAUUGGACUUUUGAUCUCUUAUUGUCUCACUAGAAGAAUGUCUCUGUUUGGUUACAAUGUCUCCUUUAAGCUUUGUAUGCCCGACUGAUUCAUAGAAUUAAUGUUUACUUGCGGUUCUUAUUUUAAUUAUUCCUGGUUGAUUUGAUAAAUGGUGGGAAUAUAUGGCGUUGCUCAAAGGAAAUUGGGAUUAUGAAGGAUUGACACUGGCUGUCAAUACCAAUUCAUAUUUUCAAUCUCUAGUGCUGAUCAUAAUGAAUAUGAUUAUAGUAGAGUUUUGGGUGAAUUGAUUGUACUGGAUACUUACUUAUCUUCUGUACUCUCUACUGGUGUAUUUUCAAGUUUGGUAAUUGUGUGGUUAAAGUAUUGUUCUGCUGCAGUUUCUAGGUAUAUCUUGAGUCAUUGAUUACCAGAUUUUCACCAUGAGGGGAGCUUGUUCUAGGAAGAGAAACCAUCAAGAUGAUGAAGAUAAUUUUCCUAGAGGGAUUUCCAGAAGAUAUUCCAAAAGUAGGUGUUCAAAGUGCUUGGCAACCUCCUUCUCUCGACUUGCUAUAGAUAUUCAACACGAAAAAGGGCAAUGCCCAUCCCUCAUGGACUUCUACGUACGGCAAAUACGUGAGGUAAUUGUUUUUCUGAAUGCUUCUUGUACAUACCUCCAAUAAUAUGGAGUAUUUACUACGUCACCAAGCAUAAGUAACACCCACUUUGGGACAUCCACAAGACAUGGCAAGGCCCAACCGAGACAUACAUCGUGUAGCCCUAUGUUCAGGCUACGCGGCGGUAUCCGGAAGUCGCAAAUCCGCCACCGGGAAGCCACCUUCCCGCCCUUGCCAAGAUGGCACCACAACAUAGCUUUCUACAUGUUAAAUAGACUAGAAUAGUAACUUUGCUUGUCCCACAUCGAAGAAUAAGUAGAGGAGAUGGCUUCCUUGAUCUAUAAAAGGAAUGCCUCCUCCCACAACUCAACACAUUCAUUACAUCUCUUGUAAUCUUGUUAGGCCGCAAGGCUCGACACACUAGUAUAGCUUUCAAGUGGACGUAGUCUCCCGCUCAUGCGGAGGCGAACCACUAUACAUCUUGUGUCAAAUCUCUCUCUCUCUUUAUUUAUAGCUAACUAGGAUCCCCAAGGAUCUUAACGUUAACAUUGGCGCCGUUUGUGGGAAGCCAACACAAUGGCUUCGUCACCUACCAUGAGCUAAGUCUGCUCAGCGGAGUUUGAAGAAAUUCCUUCCUUCUUUGAGUUUAUGUUUGAAUUAAUGUUUCUUGGCGGCAACUAGAGCAGAGUGUGCAGAAAUUUGCACCUUGCAGGCUGGUCAACACGUGGUCAACGCCCAGCAGAGUUAGUCAACGCCCAUGGAGUGGUCAAAACUUGCAGAAACACCAACAUUGGGGCGGUCAAAGCUUGGUCAACGCCCGGCGAGGUUGGUCAACGCCCGGCGGGGUUGGUCAACGCCCAUCAGGCUUGGUCACACUUUCGGUCAGCACCAGUCAAGGUUGGUCAACGCCCAACCCAUGAAGGUCAACGCUGACUCCAAAAAAAAAAAAAAAAAAAAAAAAAAUCUGGGCGGCCAAAUUUUCUCUGGACACCCAGAUAUCUUCUCUGGGCACCCAUCCAGUUUUCAAACUUCCUGCCAGACUUUGAUCCGCCAGCUGCAACUUCACCGCCCGACCCCCAGUCGCUCCGACCAGCUGCAUCUUCCAUCUCCGCCAAGCCACAACCCCACAAGGAGAAACCGCUAGACUAACCUCCGCCGGCCUCCGUUGAGUUCCGGGACCGCCGCUAGCCAUCUCUGCCGGCACUGAGCCUCCGCCGCUAGCAAACAACAUUGCCGUCUCCGCCGGACUGUGCGCCGCCAACCUAUUAUAGAGCAACUUGCGGUCCGUUCCAGGUCUCCACCGACUCUCCGCUCCGCCAACCGGCAGACACCGCUAGGAUAUACCAGCGGCAAAAACCUCCGCCAGCUGCAACUCCUCCGCUCCGCCCAACUUGCGUCUCCGCCGGCCUCAAGCUCCACCUCAGCUGACAAGCUCUUCCGCUGACAAGCUUCUCUUCCUCCAGCGAGCACAGCCCGGUGCUCCGUCAGCGACAACCCUGUCCACCAACGAGCCUUCCGCUAGCUAUCCUCAGCGGCGGCACACCGCUGCACCCCAGUUCCGCCGGGAAACCUCCGCCAAAUUGCAGAGCAAACCAACGCUUCACCGCUGAGCUUCCCCGCCGGAAAGCUUCACCGCUGGGCAGCCUCCACUUGAUCUGGACACCCACGGAGAGGAUCUGCACACCAAACGAUCUUCACAUCCGGCCACUGACACAACUUCUAUCCAGCAAUCUCCAAAUCCAGAUAAGUGCCUUCAAUUGACAUUUGGCUCCAGUUCAUAACACCUCAACGCUUUGAAUGUCUCUGUGGUUACUGCUCUUCGAACAUAUCUGCAGUAUGAGAUAGCAUAAUUGUUUAUCCACAUAUAUCAUGCUAUUCUUAAUUACUGGCAUGUGCACACUGUCGGCUACGCUUUUGUUAAAAGAGCCACAACCACACACCUACAGCACACGUCACUUAUUUGAACAUGGGCUGUUUUGUAUAAGUACCCUGCCACCUGCUGGGAAUCUUGCCUCUUGCCAUGUUUACAUAUAAAUAAAGAGACAUAUACAUAUAUAUGGGGUGUUCCAGACACCACGUGUCCAACUACCCUUAGGAUGUGACCUGCUAGGCAUGUGUUCUCUACUUCUUUCAUAUCAUCAUGUAUAUCUUUCACUUAUAUACAUGAUACAUCGUUUCAAGAUCAGGGCCACUGCUUAUGUGCAAUGAUAUAUCUUUCACUCAUGUAUAUCUUUCAAUUAUAUACAUGAUAUAAUUAUUUAUGCAAACAAGUACACACAUAGCCACAUAUGUACUUAAUUACUCCAGCAUGGCCAAUACCCGCCACAUAUGUACUUAAUUACUUAAUUACUCGUGUUGGAAAAGCGGCUAUGUCGCUGCACAUGAUAAUUUGUCAGUGAGAAGUAUAAUUGCAAUACCGAGCCUUUGGUAUGUAUUUGGCUACCACUUAUAUCAGAGAUUCGCAUGCUACACUUAGCUUAAAUUAAUACAUCACUUUGCUUACAAUCUUAUCAAAGUACAUAUGCAAAUUAUUUAUGUCGAUUUUACAAAUCCACAUAUUAAUCAUCUAU